rnacentral:rRNA from 1 species
GACGAACGCUGGCGGCGUGCUUAACACAUGCAAGUCGAACGGAAAGGCCCUGCUUUUGUGGGGUGCUCGAGUGGCGAACGGGUGAGUAACACGUGAGUAACCUGCCCUUGACUUUGGGAUAACUUCAGGAAACUGGGGCUAAUACCGGAUAGGAGCUCCUGCUGCAUGGUGGGGGUUGGAAAGUUUCGGCGGUUGGGGAUGGACUCGCGGCUUAUCAGCUUGUUGGUGGGGUAGUGGCUUACCAAGGCUUUGACGGGUAGCCGGCCUGAGAGGGUGACCGGCCACAUUGGGACUGAGAUACGGCCCAGACUCCUACGGGAGGCAGCAGUGGGGAAUAUUGCACAGUGGGCGGAAGCCUGAUGCAGCAACGCCGCGUGCGGGAUGACGGCCUUCGGGUUGGAAACCGCUUUCGCCUGUGACGAAGCGUGAGUGACGGUAAUGGGUAAAGAAGCACCGGCUAACUACGUG